GGAGGAGAGGUGUUGGUGGCUGGUUAACAACAGAGAAUAGCCAGGCAGGAGUGAGGAAGAAGGCUCGUCAGUGGAGGAAGACGGGAGAGUGGAAUGGAAAAUGAAAAAGAUGAUAUUGACUGAAGUCUUUUUGGGGUACCCGUGAUCACUCCCUAAGUUCGUUUUUGGGUCACCUUGAAAUACAAUUAGUACACUGUUCUGCACUUUACUUUAAUCUCUACUGAAAAUGACUGUCAGUGACCUUGUGGGCGGCCUCCCUCAACCGUGUGACGUCAUGAUUCUUGAAGAGUUAUCACAAGAAACAUGAGCCAAAUGUCUUUUUUUGCAUCUAGUAAUGUUCAAGCUCUCUUUCUCUCUCUCUCACUUUCUCCAAAUGGCAAAUGGAUCUGUGUUUGUUGAAUGUGCCAACUGUGUUUCAUCUUGACACACAACAAAGACUAUUCCACUCAUCCACAGCUCUUUUUGUCAAUAUCUUUUACUAAGCUUGAAUUUAUGUAGAUUAAUCAAAUCUCAAUGAGCCCUAUUUUGAUUUGCCAAUAUCUUUUACUAAGCUUGAAUUUAAGUAGGUUAAUCAAAUUUCAAUGAGCCCUAUUUUGAUUUGCCAAUAUCUUUUACUAAGCUUGAAUUUAAGUAGAUUAAUCAAAUUUCAAUGAGCCCUAUUCUGAUUUGCCAAUAUCUUUUACUAAGCUUGAAUUUAAGUAGAUUAAUCAAAUUUCAAUGAGCCCUAUUUUGAUUUGCCAAUAUCUUUUACUAAGCUUGAAUUUAAGUAGGUUAAUCAAAUUUCAAUGAGCCCUAUUUUGAUUUACCAAUAUCUUUUACUAAGCUUGAAUUUAAGUAGAUUAAUCAAAUUUCAAUGAGCCCUAUCUUGCUCCUUCACUUCAAGAGCCUUACUAACAUCACCAAUAUCAAAGCCCUUCAUCCACUUAUUAACUCACAUAAAGUCUCUACGCACCCUCAGAUGGUAAGUUAACUGUUUAAACCUAACUCUAAAUACUCUCUACAUCACACCCAUACAUACAUGCAGAAUAUUAAAGCAUGCAUACACACACACACACACACACACACACACACCAACACUCUUUCCUCACAACUAAAACAGCAACAUAACACGCCAUAACAAGCCUAUCAGUCAUCCAAAACACGCCAUAACAAGCCUAUCAGUCAUCCAUCAGCACCAGCCUGCACCACAACCACCAUGAACACACCCGGACAACCAAUAAACCUAGGGUGGUAUUGCCAAACGCUUCGUCGACCAAGUUCACAUAUUUGACAAGGCCUUCGUAGGAGUUUUGGGCAUUUCCAGGAGUAGUUUUAUGACCCUGGUGGUAGUUUGAGCCUUCCUCUGUACCAUAAACCUAAAGAAACACUCAUUAGAACCCGACUGACCCACUCUUUGGCCUUUAGAAAUACCUGAUGUGAGAAAUCAAACUGUCUUAUGAUACCGACCCUGGCGUACUACCACAAAGACUAUCCACUAAACACAGAAAGCGUCUACCACACUUCACAACCAUAUAGAGACCAACGACAAACCUUUAACAAAAACGAUUCAACUUCACAUUUCCUUUGGUAACAUGUGUGAUUAGAGGCGUCACUUCAAAUUUAACUUAGGGUGGGCAAAAGCUGCACUGCCAAACACAUGAAGGGUCGGGGGUUGCUAACAUCCUGGUCCACUGUAUUUGGCGAUGAUCGUGCCAACCUUUGACGUGGCAACAGCAUCGUCACUUUCCUGCUGCUAUUGAGUUUACAAAUAGCAGGUGAUGAGAAGGAUGAAAACAGAUGAAUAAAUGCCUUCUUUUUCAUGAUGAUGCAUGGUAAGAAUAAUAUUGAGAUGUUUUAACCCUUUCCAUAUGGUGACGCCGGCCAUAUUGAAAGGGUUAAUCCUCUUCUGAACCUCUUAAUCCUCUUCCAAUUCCUCUUAACCCUUUCCAUACUGUGACCCCAAGGUUUGCAUCACCGUAUGGAAAGGGUUAAUCCUCUUCUGAACCUCUUAAUCCUCUUCCAAUUCCUCUUAACCCUUUCCAUACUGUAACGCCAAGGUUUGCAUCACCGUAUGGAAAGGGUUAAUCCUCUUCUGAACCUCUUAAUCCUCUUCCAAUUCCUCUUAACCCUUUCCAUACUGUAACGCCAAGGUUUGCAUCACCGUAUGGAAAGGGUUAAUCCUCUUCUGAACCUCUUAAUC